rnacentral:lncRNA from 1 species
AAAUUUUUGGGUUCGUUCAAUCAAGUAUUUCAGGUAAAGGUUACUGGCUAUUUGGUUCCGCUGCCUACCUGAGUGUGUGUUUCUUUGUUUCUUUUGCCUCCUCUGUUGUUGUGCUUUGUAUAUAUUCGUCUUGUAGGUGUGACUAGAAUUGCUUCAAUCUGUUGCAGGUGCGCAUCUGUAAUGCUGCUUAAACUUUUGGUAGGUUUGGAAGUUGACGUUGAAGAGUGGUUGUGGUUUCAAAUCUGAUGUUCAUCCUUUAUCCUGCCUUUACAUAUAUAGCCUCCAACAGUGUACGAGCGGGAAAAGGAAAAAAGGUUUUUGUUGGUUUGGCUUUAGGAGGGGUGUAUAUAUGGAAAAAAAAGUUUCUCAGGCUCGUAUCAUAUAUAGCUGUGUUGUUGUUAAUGCAUUUUUCUACACGUUGUUAUUUGCUGUUAUAUUUUAUUAUAAAAAACAUUGCCCCUACUGUAACUAGGCAAUGUUUAAGUCUUGCAUUCACGAGCCAAGCAACUAUGAUUCCUACUAUAUGAUAUUAUAAAUUCAAUAAAAUUAUAUAAAAGUCAGUUCUAUGUUUGCUUUGAAUGGUCAUAGAUUAGUACAUUGAUGUAGUUUUUGUUUUUUAUAAAUGGAUUCAAACUGAA